AUUGAACGCUGGCGGCAUGCCUUACACAUGCAAGUCAAACGGCAGCACGGGAGCAAUCCUGGUGGUGAGUGGCGAACGGGUGAGUAAAGUAUCGGAACGUGCCCAGUCGUGGGGGAUAACGUAGCGAAAGUUACGCUAAUACCGCAUACGAUCUAUGGAGGAAAGCGGGGGAUCGCAAGACCUCGCGCGAUUGGAGCGGCCGAUACCAGAUUAGGGAGGUGGUGGGGUAAAGACUCACCAAGCCGACGAUCUGUAGCUGGUCUGAGAGGACGAACAGCCACACUGGGACUGAGACACGGCCCAGACUCCUACGGGAGGCAGCAGUGGGGAAUUUUGGACAAUGGGCGCAAGCCUGAUCCAGCCAUGCCGCGUGCAGGAUGAAGGCCUUCGGGUUGUAAACUGCUUUUGUACGGAACGAAAAGGUUUGGCCUAAUACGCUGAACUCAUGACGGUACCGUAAGAAUAAGCACCGGCUAACUACGUGCCAGCCGCCGCCGUAA
rnacentral:rRNA from 1 species